AGACGCGGAUGUACGCUGACAGGUCCUGAUGCCGAAAGGAGGUUCAAAGUAGCGAUCUUUCAGGCAUUAUACCACUCACUCAUCUACCUGUCUCUACGGAAGAUUCAAUUAAAAAAAGUGCUGCCGUCGAAAGAAUGUAAGUAUUUCGAUGAUGGAAUAAGUAGUUUGAAGAUGGACUCAAAAAUGAAAGUAAAGAGCUGAGAAAGUGACUACGUAAGCACAGAAAGACACUCUAGUCUACUUUUGGAAAUGGCGUCCGGCUCAAACGGCGGCAAUAAACG